AUUGAACGCUGGCGGCAUGCCUUACACAUGCAAGUCGAACGGUAACAGGUUAAGCUGACGAGUGGCGAACGGGUGAGUAAUGUAUCGGAACGUGCCCAGUCGUGGGGGAUAACUGCUCGAAAGAGCAGCUAAUACCGCAAACGACCUGAGGGUGAAAGCGGGGGAUCGCAAGACCUCGCGCGAUUGGAGCGGCCGAUAUCAGAUUAGGUAGUUGGUGAGGUAAAGGCUCACCAAGCCGACGAUCUGUAGCUGGUCUGAGAGGACGACCAGCCACACUGGGACUGAGACACGGCCCAGACUCCUACGGGAGGCAGCAGUGGGGAAUUUUGGACAAUGGGCGCAAGCCUGAUCCAGCCAUGCCGCGUGCGGGAAGAAGGCCUUCGGGUUGUAAACCGCUUUUGUCAGGGAAGAAAAGGUUCUGGCUAAUACCUGGGACUCAUGACGGUACCUGAAGAAUAAGCACCGGCUAACUACGUG
rnacentral:rRNA from 1 species